rnacentral:rRNA from 1 species
UAACCUGCCCAAGAGAUCGGGAUAACACCUGGAAACAGAUGCUAAUACCGGAUAACAACAGAUGAUGCCUAUCAACUGUUUAAAAGAUGGUUCUGCUAUCACUCUUGGAUGGACCUGCGGUGCAUUAGCUAGUUGGUAGGGUAACGGCCUACCAAGGCGAUGAUGCAUAGCCGAGUUGAGAGACUGAUCGGCCACAUUGGGACUGAGACACGGCCCAAACUCCUACGGGAGCAGCAGCA